rnacentral:lncRNA from 1 species
GCAGCUGUUGUUAUGAGAAAAUGCUUCUACCUUCUUGGAAUCACUCCAGUCUUCAAGAUAUAAAAUAUUUGGAAUUGGAUUUCUUUAUUUAUUUUCACUAUAAGAUUUUCAAGCGAUUACAACCGUUAAACCUUAUUACAUUUAUGCCAACAAACAAGUAAAUAAUUCAGAUGUUUUUUUUGUUGAUGUUUGAUUUGAUAUUGGUCACACGUGAGAAAACACACCUUUGAUCCAUCUGAAGAUCUUUUUAAAAUUGGACUUGAUCUUCCCCUCCACAGUAUACAUAUUGUAAAUUGCUAUUCUUCCUCUCCUCUUCAUAUCUGGAUGAUUCAUACACCACUGGUUUCCACUGGUCGAUAGUGAUGACUCAGAGGUUGGCUUUGAUGAUUCUUUGUAAUCUUUUUCAAGAUAUCUGUGGGAAUUGCUACUGAAUGAUGAUGAUCCCAUUUACUGAUUUAUUCUUCCUCUUCUUUAGUCCUGUAUUUUUUUUUGAAAGCAUAGUCCUGUAUGACUUAUGAAGUGGACAUGUUGUCAUCCCAGAUAGAUCAUUCUGUUGAUGCUUUAUGGUGAAUCUUUGUGUGUGUGUGUGUUUGUUUAAAUGUAUUAAAAAAAUAUUAUUUAAUGAAACCGUCAAAUUUUAAAUGGAAAAGAUUGAGAACAUAAGCAUUCCCAAUCACAUUGACAAAGUUUGUAUGAAAUUCGCAGUAUUGCGCAAUUGAUUCGAAGAAUAAUAUAAUUGUGAAAUUACUAUAAUUAUAUAACUGUCAAAAACUAAUUUAACUAACUAACUAAUUAUUUAAAGUCAAUCAUUUGACUAUUAUAAAAAUAUUUUUGACUAAUGCGAAUGUAUAUUGUCUACUUGCUAAUUAAACUAACUAAUUAAUUGAAUUUUGAUUAUAACUACUUACUCGGGACGGGGGACGGGGCAAGGUCGCACGUCCGUGACCCGCCCAGUUACUUAGUUAGUGAUAGACGACGUAAUCUUUUAAGAACAACCUCUAAUAGAAUUGAAGCAAACACAUCAACGAUUACCAAUUCAAAUCAUACCUUGACGAUAGACAACAGAAACAGAGAAGGAAGACGAUCGAGAAUGCAAUCGGCGAUGAUGAAUUAAGAUCAAUUCCUUGGUGCUGAACCUUGGAUUCUUCUUCUUCGAGAUUUUUUUGGGGAGAAACGGUCGGUCGGAGGAGCUUUUAAAUGGGACGAAUACAUUAAUUAUCCGAAGAUUUGUUUUGUAACAAACUCCAACUCAUAUUAUGGAGUUUGUUACAGUGAGUGUAUAUAUACACCGGCAAUCACUUACUCUUCCUCCUUGUUUUCUUCAAUCUCCACCGAUGGCCAUCGCUGUUACUUCUUCUACCGAUGUGAGUAACGUUUAAAUUUUCUUGCAUGUUUAUAGUUUCAGCGUAUGAUCGACGUUUAAUUUUACAAAUCUUG